AUUGAACGCUGGCGGCAGGCUUAACACAUGCAAGUCGAACAAGUGGCGGACGGGUGAGUAAUGUCUGGGAAACUGCCCGAUGGAGGGGGAUAACUACUGGAAACUGUAGCUAAUACCGCAUACCAUCGGAUCUGCCCAGAUGGGAUUAGCUAGUAGGUGGGGUAAAGGCUCACCAAGGCGACGCUCCCUAGCUGGUCUGAGAGGAUGACCAGCCACACUGGGACUGAGACACGGUCCAGACUCCUACGGGAGGCAGCAGGGGGGAAUAUUGCGCAAUGGGGGCAACCAUGAUGCAGCCAUCCCGCGUGUAUGAAGAAGGCCUUCGGGUUGUAAAGUACUUUCGGCGGGGAGGCGUUACCGGCAGAAGAAGCACCGGCUAACUACGUGCCAGCAGCCGCGGUAAUAC
rnacentral:rRNA from 1 species